AGACAGUUCGGUCCCUAUCCGUCGUGGGCGUAGGAAAUUUGAGAGGAGCUGUCCUUAGUACGAGAGGACCGGGAUGGACGCACCGCUGGUGUACCAGUUGUUCUGCCAAGGGCAUAGCUGGGUAGCUAUGUGCGGAAGGGAUAAGUGCUGAAAGCAUCUAAGCAUGAAGCCCCCCUCAAGAUGAGAUUUCCCAUAGCGUAAGCUAGUAAGAUCCCUGAAAGAUGAUCAGGUUGAUAGGUUCGAGGUGGAAGCAUGGUGACAUGUGGAGCUGACGAAUACUAAUAGAUCGAGGACUUAACCAU
rnacentral:rRNA from 3 species